UGGGUGGUGGUGACUCUGGAAAGCCUCAUUAUAAUCUUGUGGAGAAUAAAACCAGUUCUCUUCAGAGGCAGAAUGACACUCUAAUUUGGUGGUUUGUAUAGUGCACUUCUCUCCCUUUUCUAAUUGAAAUCAGUACGGAUUUAUUCCUACCCUACAUUAUGUGUUAAGAAUACUGGAACUGUUGUCCACUGCUCUACCCCACAUAUAGCACUGGGAAAUAAUUUGGUCAGUUGUCUUAUACACGUGCCUUCACAUGAUCCCAUUUAAGUUUAGGUACUGCAUUCAUUAUACUGUAACUCAGAGAGAUCAAGGGACUUUUCAAAGGUCAAAUAUUCAGAUAACAAAUAUUCCACAAGUCUCAGAAAAUUAGGUUGCUUGAUUCCAAUGAAAAGAAGAAACUAUCCCCCUAAAGACCAGAACGUAAAACAACAGUUGUUUUGGUCUUUGAGAAUUUAGUAAAAGCUCACAAAAAUAAAUCUGGUAGCAUAACUAUAUCAAUUUCCCAUUCUGUCUUUCCUUAAAGAACAAAAACAAGCAAACAAACAAAAAGCACUUUGAUGGUGUAGAGCUACGAAGACAAAGAAUAUACUCCAUUAGAUAAGAGGACAAAACAAGAUGGGACAGGCUGCAAGACCUGUGUGGAUGAAGAGAUGAGGCUAUAGAAUUAGGAGUUAAACCAGGGGAUGCUUUUCUCCAGCUUUGUGUCCUGGCUGGUUUACUUUUGGUCAUUUAAACCAUACAGCACACUCCUGCACUAUUAAUCAAAUAAAUCGGCUGUGGACUUUAGAUAUCCACUGUUGUUCCUCUUGAUUACUGUUGCUGCAGCUGAGGAUGAACACUGAGAAUACAGUAGGUAGUUAUCAGCAGGGCUGGACUAACCUGACCAAACCUAAGGCCACAGUUCUAGUGGAGGUCUAGCAAACCUCUGCUCUGCUGGAUGUGGCCUGUUCUGUGGCUGGACCAGGAAGAGACAGGGUGGACAAGGCAGUAGGCAGCUCUCAGGAUGGGUCAGGUUAGAAGCAUUUUCACAUGGACAUUGGCAGAACUAUGCAGGUAGCAAGAGCUGAAGACCCUGGUUACAGCUUAUAGCUCUGGGCACUAAUUUCAACCCUUUAAGUGAAAAAAACUUUGAUACUGAGCUUGUUCUGUAUUUUUUUUUAAUCAUUUCAAUAAAGAGCCAACUUAGGCUAUAAAGACAAACAUCUAUCUUUUCACGUAAAGAUCAUUACUUCAUUGUUUUGGUACACUAAAGAAUUGUACUCAUCGCUGAAUCAUGUAACUGUAACCUCUCUGUACAUCACCUCUACAAUAACAAUAAAAUGUGAGACAAAAACAGUUUAAACAAUCUCGUAGAUUCAUUCUCUUAGGCCUACAGACUUUUCAGAUUUCAAGAGGCUGAGAUCUGAGGAUUGUGGUUUACAGCCAUUCCAGGCAAGAAAAGUCAGACUCUUAUCUCCAAUUAACUACCAACAA